GAGGCUACUGGAGAGGAGGAGAAGAAGAGGAAGUCAGGGGAAAGAAAAUCAAAGAAGAAAAAGAACUUGGAAGCAAAAGGAAAGCAUGAGUAGAAAAGGGGAGAAUCUGAAACAAGAGAAAGAAGAAAGGUUUCAAGAGAAAACAAGCAUCUAUCAACUACUUGAGGAACGAGCAUGACACUGACGGUGAUUCCAGCCAUGAAUCCAG
rnacentral:sRNA from 1 species